GAUACUGCAUCAAAUCUGCACACAGUAGCACAUCCUACUGGGUGUUGAAGGGCAGUGAGACAGAAAUCCAGUGUUGGGCAGUGUUGGUUUUUUGACUUUGGGUUGAUAAAGCUGGUAUUUUCACUGAGAAAUUU